rnacentral:siRNA from 1 species
GUAGCUAUGUAGGUAUGUAUUAA